UCCCUCCCUCCAAAGUCAGUCAUGCAUUGCAGAGGAAGCCAACAGAGCUCGAUGAGUCCUAUAAUUAUUUCUCCUCCUCGUCCACUCAGUCUCAGCUCCCCGUGAAGCACUCUGCGCUGCGCGUGACUGGUCGCUGCUUCCAAUCCAGACAGCAGCACGAAGGUUCGGUGCUGGUCCGGAGGGAAUAUCGUGUGCUUGCUCCGAUUUCAUGUUCAGCUGUAUCGACCGUGCCCGUUGGUUGAUGGCGUGAUGGAGUACUACUGUACGGAGAGCUGCAGCAGCAGAGCAGGCGCAGAGUCCUACUCGUCGAGCAACAAGAGCAGUAGGAGACCGCGAGAGAAGCUUGAUGUUUACAGCAGCAUACUAUGGCGGCUCAGAGAGCUCGGAGUCGAGGAAGCGUGGCGCCCCGGCUUCGAGGAUGAACUCUUGGCUCAUUUCCGUCGCCUCCCUCACAGCUAUGCCUCGGACAUGAGUGUGGAGAAGGCGGAAGAUGUUUUGAUGCACAAAAGGUUGCUUCAGAUGGCUAAGGAUCCUGCUACAAGACCUGCCAUUGAAGUUCGUCGAGCAAAGGCUUCUUCCUCUAAUCAAAAUUGCGGAAAUUCAGUUCAUUCAAACACCUUAAGCAGAGUGGAUGCUCAGGGAACUGCUCCAAGAAGUAGGCUCAGGCCGAUCUAUGAAAUCACGAUUUCCACAAAUGACAAACGCAAAUUUCUCAGCCAGCUUACUUCAUUGAUGUCUGGACUUGGAUUGAACAUCCACGAGGCUCAUGCCUUUUCUACUGAAGAUGGCUACUCCUUGGACGUAUUUGUCGUUGCUUGUUCAAAGGAACAGGAGGCUGAGGAGCUCAAGACUAAUCUGGCCAUGGAAAUACAAAAGUGUGAGAGGUCACUUUCGCCGGAAAAGCAUGUCGCUGAUGCCAACAGGCAAGAGCAAAAUGGUCUAAUGCACAUGCUUAAACAUGUGGAUGUUGAUUUCUGGGAGAUUGAUGCAAAUCUGUUGAGAUUUGAAAAGAAACUGGCUUCUGGAUCUUAUGGUGACUUGUAUAAAGGUACGUACCUUAGUCAGGAUGUGGCCAUUAAAGUUUUUAGGUCUGAACAUAUAAACAAAGCUCUGCAGCAAGAAUUUACUCAGGAAGUCUUUAUUUUGAGGAAAAUUCAGCAUAGGAAUAUUGUCAAGUUCAUUGGUGCAUCUAUGAGGCCUCCAAGACUUUGCAUUGUGACAGAAUACAUGCCUGGAGGUAGCGUCUUUGACUUUCUCCGUAAGCAAAAGGAUGUUCUACAUCUCUCGACUGUACUCAGAUUUGCGAUUGAUGUCUCCAAGGGGAUGCAUUACUUGCACCAGAAUGACAUCAUCCACAGGGACCUCAAAGCUGCAAAUCUUUUAAUGGAUGAAAAUAAUGUAGUCAAGAUUGCUGAUUUUGGUGUUGCCAAAAUCCAAUGUCAGAGUGGUGUUAUGACUGCUGAGACUGGAACAUAUCGGUGGAUGGCUCCUGAGGUAGGCAUUGUAUGAACUUGUUUGAUUAUUUGAAUGACUGAACUACCCCACAACAACGUUAAGAUUUUGUUGAGUUUUUUUGUUCUUUCACUGAGAUACAAUCCCAACCGCCUACAGAUGGUAACUUCCUAUGCAGGGAAAUUCCAGUUUUUUAUGGUAUAUUAGUUACGAAUCUUUUCUCAUUCAUCAAUAAUGAUUUCGAAUUGUUGGGAGUUGCUUUGACAUAGAGUACUUGUUACGGCACCGUCGUGGCCUUUUUCGACUUCUACAAGCUCAAAGUCCUCCUUAGUCCCUUUCUUCCUUUCCCUUUGCUUUUAUUCUGCAGUGCAAGGUCGGGAUAAGUUUUAAUAUUAAAGAUUUGAGCAGCUGCUACAAGAUUAUAUUGGCAUAAGUCUUUGCUGGUGAUCGGACACAAGCCUUAUAAUCAUAAGGCUGAUGUCUUCAGUUUCGGGAUUGUUCUGUGGGAAUUGCUCACGGGAAAGCUUCCUUAUGAAGAGCUAACCCCAUUACAAGCGGCAAUUGGUGUUGUCCAAAAG